rnacentral:rRNA from 1 species
AGGCACUACGGUGCUGAAGCAACAAAUGCCCUGCUUCCAGGAAAAGCCUCUAAGCAUCAGGUAACAUCAAAUCGUACCCCAAACCGACACAGGUGGUCAGGUAGAGAAUACCAAGGCGCUUGAGAGAACUCGGGUGAAGGAACUAGGCAAAAUGGUGCCGUAACUUCGGGAGAAGGCACGCUGAUAUGUAGGUGAAGCGACUUGCUCGUGGAGCUGAAAUCAGUCGAAGAUACCAGCUGGCUGCAACUGUUUAUUAAAAACACAGCACUGUGCAAACACGAAAGUGGACGUAUACGGUGUGACGCCUGCCCGGUGCCGGAAGGUUAAUUGAUGGGGUUAGCGGCAACGCGAAGCUCUUGAUCGAAGCCCCGGUAAACGGCGGCCGUAACUAUAACGGUCCUAAGGUAGCGAAAUUCCUUGUCGGGUAAGUUCCGACCUGCACGAAUGGCGUAAUGAUGGCCAGGCUGUCUCCACCCGAGACUCAGUGAAAUUGAACUCGCUGUGAAGAUGCAGUGUACCCGCGGCAAGACGGAAAGACCCCGUGAACCUUUACUAUAGCUUGACACUGAACAUUGAGCCUUGAUGUGUAGGAUAGGUGGGAGGCUUUGAAGUGUGGACGCCAGUCUGCAUGGAGCCGACCUUGAAAUACCACCCUUUAAUGUUUGAUGUUCUAACGUGGGCCCCUAAUCGGGGUUGCGGACAGUGUCUGGUGGGUAGUUUGACUGGGGCGGUCUCCUCCUAAAGAGUAACGGAGGAGCACGAAGGUUGGCUAAUCCUGGUCGGACAUCAGGAGGUUAGUGCAAUGGCAUAAGCCAGCUUGACUGCGAGCGUGACGGCGCGAGCAGGUGCGAAAGCAGGUCAUAGUGAUCCGGUGGUUCUGAAUGGAAGGGCCAUCGCUCAACGGAUAAAAGGUACUCCGGGGAUAACAGGCUGAUACCGCCCAAGAGUUCAUAUCGACGGCGGUGUUUGGCACCUCGAUGUCGGCUCAUCACAUCCUGGGGCUGAAGUAGGUCCCAAGGGUAUGGCUGUUCGCCAUUUAAAGUGGUACGCGAGCUGGGUUUAGAACGUCGUGAGACAGUUCGGUCCCUAUCUGCCGUGGGCGCUGGAGAACUGAGGGGGGCUGCUCCUAGUACGAGAGGACCGGAGUGGACGCAUCACUGGUGUUCGGGUUGUCAUGCCAAUGGCACUGCCCGGUAGCUAAAUGCGGAAGAGAUAAGUGCUGAAAGCAUCUAAGCACGAAACUUGCCCCGAGAUGAGUUCUCCCUGACUCCUUGAGAGUCCUGAAGGAACGUUGAAGACGACGACGUUGAUAGGCCGGGUGUGUAAGCGCAGCGAUGCGUUGAGCUAACCGGUACUAAUGAACCGUGAGGCUUAACCUU